GUUAUUUUAUUUGACUUUUCGUAAAUGAUUUUUACGACCAAUUAACAGUAAUAAUUAAUUUUUAACAGCAUGAAAUUAUUCCUUUGAAACAGAAAUUGGUUAUGCUUGAAAAUUAAUUAAUUAAUUAAACUUUUUUGUAGGAUAAAUGUAGGAUUGAACGUGAUUGCAAAUGGUUUCGGUGACAUUGGACGAGGCGUCAGGCUAUGGCUUUUUGACUUAUCUAUAGCCCUUGCCUUUUAUCCAGCAUUGAAAAUAUAUGGAUCUAGUAGAAAGUUACUCAAAAAUUUACCAGGGUUACAGCGAGUCUGGACUGGCUUCGGGAUAAUUGGACUCGUAUCUCUGGAGACUUUGCUGAUAGCUGUGCCUACUUGGGAUCUAGGUAGACAGCAUUUGGCAAUUGCUUCCUCGGCCGCUGUCACAUGUGAAAUG
rnacentral:lncRNA from 1 species